rnacentral:rRNA from 1 species
AACGAACGCUGGCGGCAUGCCUAACACAUGCAAGUCGAACGAGAUCUUCGGGUCUAGUGGCGCACGGUUGCGUAACGCGUGGGACUCUGCCCUUUGGUUCGGAAUAACAGUUGGAAACGACUGCUAAUACCGGAUGAAGACGAAAGACCAAAGAUUUAUCGCCAGAGGAUGAGCCCGCGUAGGAUUAGCUAGUUGGUGUGGUAAAGGCGCACCAAGGCGACGAUCCUUAGCAGGUCUGAGAGGAUGAUCAGCCACACGGGGACGUAGACACGGCGCAAACUCCUACGGGAGGCAGCAGUGGGGAAUAUUGGACAAGGGGCGAAAGCCUGAUCCAGCAAUGCCGCGUGAGUGAUUAAGGCCUUAGGGUUGUAAAGCUCUUUGACACGGGAGGAUAAUGACAGUACCGGGAGAAUAAGCGCCGGCUAACUCCGUGCCAGCCGCCGCCGUAA